rnacentral:rRNA from 1 species
UACGGAGGGUGCAAACGUUGCUCGGAAUCACUGGGCGUAAAGCGCACGUAGGCGGCCAAGUAAGUUGGAUGUGAAAGCCCUGGGCUCAACCCAGGAAGUGCAUCCAAAACUGCUUGGCUUGAGUACCGGAGGGGUUCAGAGAAUUCCCGGUGUAGAGGUGAAAUUCGUAGAUAUCGGGAGGAAUACCAGUGGCGAAGGCGCUGAACUGGACGGUAACUGACGCUGAGGAGCGACAGCGUGGGGAGCAAACAGG